CAUGGUUUCUGCGCUGAUGAGCACUAGUUGAUUCAAUUUCUCUUCGAGACUUGUAAAACUUCCUCAUUUGCACAUCACAUACCUGUAUUUGGGUGCUUUAUUUGCAAAACGUAAUUGUAAGAAACUUAUCAGAUCAUGAUGAUAAUGAUUUAACUGAAUUAAGUUAUGUUUACUCACUUAUACAGUAUAUUAGAAUAUGUUGAGAAUAUUUUCAUCUCUGCCUGGUGUUCUGCCGAUUUGUUCUACCCUGUCAGAUUUUGCUACCUCGCAUUAUUAAAACCAUAGGUAGUACAAUUUGACAACAAAAAAUGCAACCUGUCAAAUUAUGGAUUAUUAACUUCUACACCUGCCCCAACACUAAACCUAUCCUUACAGUAAUACAAAUACAGUAAUCGUUGUUGUUCAGCUUGAGAAAAAAAGACUCAAUACUGAUGUGCGCAUGCACAGUAAACGCUGGUUGGACAAUCUGACAGGUAGGACACCGGGACGAUAAUCAGGAACAUUAUCAAAUAUAUUUAAUGUGUUUGUGCAAGAUAAAUGUGAAAGAGAGAAUGUUAUUUUAACUUCUUAGACAUCCCAAAUUCUUUGAAAAUUAUUUGCAUUAAAUACUCAUAUCUAGGGGUUAUAUUUGAAUGCCCUAAAAUGACACAUAUGUUGAAUAUGCAUUAUGAUUGGUUGAGAUAGAAGCAUGUCGAGGUGGUCAGCAGUAUUUCAUUGGUCAGUCCUGACUGGCCUGUUUUUGAAAACUCCACACCUUUCAAGGCUGUUGCCUACUCACACUAUAAAAUAACACUCAUAUGACUGAAGCAGUACACUACACAUGAGAAAAUCAUUAAAUGUGAAAUCAAGUAAUCAAGUACAGCAAUAAUCUUUUUUAACAGAGCAGUCGUUCAAGAGCAGUGUAGUCCAGGGCAGGAGCACCACCACUGUUUCAGCAGCAGUGGCAAAAACUGACCGUAACUCUACUCUAGGCCGGCAUACAGAAGCUCUCUGUCAAACAGACUCUUCACACCAAAGUGUCUUGGGUGCUCCUUCCAGGCAUUACUGUGGGAUCAGCACGAAAAGGAAACAAGACACAGCGAUUUCCAGAAAAGUUCAAAAGGUAAGAAACUGGCUCUUAUUCAUUGUUUGUGCACAAAGUAACAAAAUAAAAUGUUUUUAACAAACAAAUUUUGAUUCAUAAAAAACUUUUGAAUUAAAAUGUAUUCUAAAUUCGGAAAAAAGACACAACUGAAACCACGUGUACACAAAAAGUGUGCUACAUAAAUCUCUCAUAAAUUUGCAAAAAUAUCAAUAUGUUUAAAUAAGCUUCAUCAUAUAGAUUAGAUUAGAUUAGAUUAGAUUGGAUUAGAUUAGAUUCAACUUUAUUGUCACUGCACAUGUAAGGUACAAGGCAAUGAAAUGCAGUUAGCAUCUAACCAGAAGUGCAAUAAGCAGUAAGCACAGAAUAUACAAGGUCUACAAUAUGUUACAAAUGUACAAUAAAUAUACAGAUAAGGCAGUAUUAUGGACAUCAUUUACAGAUUUUAAAUACUAUCAGCAUGAUAUACAGAUAGGUGUACUAUGAACAUACAGAUGGAAUAUACAGAUGGAUUGUGUAAAAGUGUAUGUACACUGUAGACAGAAACUGUGAACAAGUGAGCAUCAUUUGCACUAGUGCAAUGGACAGUAAAGUGCAUAGAAAAUAUUUCAGUGUGCAAAUGGAUUACUCAGUGUUCUGGAUGAACAGAAAGUAGUGCAAGUAAUAGCAAGUUUACUUUUUUUGCUUGUUUUAAAUAAAUAAAUCAGUCAGAUGUAGUGUUGAAGAGGGGGAGGAGUCUGUGUGUAUGGUGUGUGUGUGUGUGUGUGUGUGUCUGUGUGUGUGUGUUAUAGCUCAAACUAUAUGCACACGUACAGCUGCCAAAUGUGAGUCUGUAAUCUAGGUCUGUAGUGUUUAUUGUAUUUUAACUGGUUUUGAGGGCAGCAAAAAUUGCUCAUGGAUCUUUCUGUGCAUGUUUAAAGAGCAUCAUGACAAUUACACAAGACUGUAAAGGUUCUGCAGGAAAGCUUAAAUAUGGAGAUGUUAGGUCAAUGUGCAGCAGAUACACCCAUCAUAACAAUUUCAAUAUACAGUAUUUUAUUGCUUCCUUUGCCUGAAAAGUACAUAAACUUUACAGAGAACAUCUAAAAUAACAAUGAAUUUACACACAAAUUGUGUUGUUGCGUCAAUGUUCAUUAAAAAUAAAUAUAUUAAUUUGUUAAUACUUUUCUUAAAUCUUUUAUUCAUAAUUAAUUAUAAAAGUCACUUUGUCUUGUACUGCUCCUUAUAAUGCACUGUAUGAUCUCAUGAAUAAUCGUAAACACAGUGAUAUUACAUUUUAAUAUUCAUUAUUGCACUCCAUAUGACAAACAACACUUUAAAUUUUAUAAUGCAUUUUAACUUUGGUUAAACUUAUUUAUUAAGAGAUAUAAUGCAUUACAGAAUACUUUAUUAAAAAAGCACACAAAUUAUAUGGAUUUAAUGACUGUGAAUUGCUGAGUAGUCUUAAUAUAGGCACAGUAAGCGACAGAGUUUUGUUCGUUGGAGGCAGAAUGUGAACGUACAGAACUAGGCUAUGUUUCAGUAAAUGAGGAUUUACUGCAAAACGUUUCUCUGCCCGUUGCCUCUGCGUGCUUCAACUCUCAAUGCACUGCACAAGUGUCUCUAAUGUAAAACACAAUUAUUUUAAUACAUUUUACAUGGUUACUUUUCAUGCAGUUAACAUCUGUGAAGUUACUUGACAUUUUAUGUUGUGUGUAGAAUCCAGGAUAGGAUAUAUUUUUUAUUAUUAUUUUAUUUAUUCAUAAUAUUUUGUCAGGUAAUGGAGAAGAUUAUUAUAAUUUUUCUCCAGAAAUUGUUCUUCCGUGGCUUUGUUGAGAAAAGUAUAUAUCAAAUGUUGGCUUUCAAAUGGUUUCUCGCAUUGUGUGUUAUGCUAUGAGUACACUCCUGUUUACUCUUGAGUACUGAAGCUGGAUUGGUUCAUAUUUGUGUAGCUGCACAAACCAAUGAGUCUUUAACCCACCAACAGGGGUGUAGCUGACUGCUAUAUAAAUCUGCUCUGAACCCCAUUUCAUCAGAAUUUUAUCCUUCAGUGUGAAGAUCAUCUCCUCACUAGACUCUGAAGAAGCAAGAAGCUUGAAGUCCUUCACUUCCCCUGCAGCCAUUCGUUGACUAAAAAGAGCAAAUUUCAAGCGACAUUGUUUCAAAUAUCGCCUCAUGAGUGUAGCUCAUGCAGGGAACUCCUGAUGGGGAUAUAGUGCUUUCAUUGCGAGAGGAUGAGUCUCGCUGUGCUUUUCAUGCACAUCGCCUUCUUUCAUAAAGGCAACACUGAUCAAUGUUGACAGUGAGUUAAUUCACAUGCGAUAUCCAUGGAGGAACUCGGCCUGGAUUGGUUGUCUGCUGAAAAGCCCACCAACAACCGAUUAGAUGAGUGAUUCCUGGAAGCAGGACACCGCCAACAAUCCUCUCACCAACAGCUGGCCCCUCUGAACUCACUAAUGGCAAGCUGACAGAUAUCAAGGAUGUAGACAAGAUCACCUUCCUUGACCCCCCCUCCGGUCUAAACAUGACAAUAAGAAACUAUAAACUUCUAGCAUUAUAUCGUCUUAAUCAUAUUAUUGAUAUGGCCAUUCCUCCCUGAGGACAAUCAUGGAUUCAGCCCAAAUGUGGGCAAGAAUUAUGCCAGAAUGCUCACUAACAGUUCAGCGACUGGUAUCGUUAUUUAGAGUCGAGACGACUCUCAUACGCUCUGCUUCAUAUGAAGCCCCUACAAUUCAUGGUUUUACGCUUUGAAGACAUCCCACUUGUUUCAGACAAGUGUCCCAUUGGGACUGACCUCCAGCGGGAAGGUGGUUAUAAUAGAUUCUUCUAACCUGUGUUGGGGCGCGCUGUUCGAGGCCAGAUUGGAGCUUGGCUCCUGGUUCAGCCUGAAGCAAUGCCUACACAUCAACUGCCUAGAGAUGAUGGUGGUUUUUCUAGUUCUAAACACCUUCCUGCCAACCUAAAGGCAGCUGUACACAGUGCGAUUCUGACAGUCAGAAAUAUGUGAGCCCUCGCACACGUCACGACUGAGUUUAUCUGAAAAUCAUUCAGAGGCAGUCACAUGACUUUACUACAAUUUUACACAGGUAGAGCACUGUGUUAGCGGCACAAAAGUUUGUGGGUUUAAUUCCUAGAAGACACAUGUUAGGUAAAAAAAUGGUAAAACCCGGGAUUAUCAGCGAC
rnacentral:lncRNA from 1 species